rnacentral:rRNA from 1 species
GGACAAGCCCUGGAAACGGGGUCUAAUACCGGAUAUCACUCCCGCAGGCAUCUGUGGGGGUCGAAAGCUCCGGCGGUGAAGGAUGAGCCCGCGGCCUAUCAGCUUGUUGGUGAGGUAAUGGCUCACCAAGGCGACGACGGGUAGCCGGCCUGAGAGGGCGACCGGCCACACUGGGACUGAAACACGGCCCAAACUCCUACGGGAGGCAGCAGUGGGGAAUAUUGCACAAUGGGCGAAAGCCUGAUGCAG